UCCUCUGAGAAAGAGUUCUUUUUACUUGCAUCUGCAGAUGCUGCACAGGAGAAGAAAGAUGGGGAGACUCAUGAAGAGGG
rnacentral:sRNA from 1 species